CUUAACCCGAAUUGCUCAUGUAAGUUGUUCUGUAUAAGAGCAUCUGAUAAAUUACUAAAAUGUCAAUGUAAAAUUAUAUGUUAGCCCCGAUAUGUUAGCUCCGAUAUGUUAGCCCCGAUAUGUUAGCCCUGAUAUGUUAGCCCCGAUAUGUUAGCCCUGAUAUGUUAGCUCCGAUAUGUUAGCCCUGAUAUGUUAGCCCUGAUAUGAUAUCUCCGAUAUGUUAGCCCUGAUAUGUUAGCCCUGAUAUGUUAGCUCCAAUAUGUUAGCUCCGAUAUGUUACCCUGAUAUGUUAGCCCCGAUAUGUUAGCCCUGAUAUGUUAGCUCCGAUAUGUUAGCCCUGAUAUGUUAGCCCUGAUAUGUUAGCCCUGAUAUGUUAGCUCCAAUAUGUUAGCGCCGAUAUAUUAGCCCCGAUAUGUUAGCUCAGACAUGUUAGCCCUGAUAUAUUAGCCCCGAUAUGUUAGCUCAGACAUGUUAGCCC
ensembl:lncRNA